rnacentral:lncRNA from 1 species
CCCUGGGCAGGGCCUUGGGCUGUGCCUAGAACCUCUGGUGGGGAAGCCCUGCCCACACUCGGGAUUCUCAGCCCUGGUCCUCGUGGUCCUGAGAAGCAGAAGGGACUUCCAGGAUACACCUGCACCUGGGCACUGCCUUCUGCUCCUAGCCACAUUUGGAAUCCAGCCAACAGCUCAGAGCCUCCAACAGCAUCCCACUGCUGGGGAGGGAGCCGACGCAGGCUAGGAGCAGGAAGGAGGACAUGGUUCCUUUCCAUCCUGCUGAGUGACUGCUGGGGCAACUGUUCAGACUGACUCACUUCCUCCUUCACAGCCUGAGAGGCUGAGUGAUCAAUGCCCUGGCUCUCUCUGCAGCAUCGAAGCACUUACUCUUCAAAUGGCUUGCCCAUCUUAGGAAAACAUCAAGGCCCAUGUGUUUGGGGAGACUUGCCUGAGACCAGUCAGGCACUACAGCAGCUUGGCCAGCCCACAGGCUGGGCUCUUAGGAGACACUCUGACCCUCAGGUUUCUGAGUCACUCACUUUUCCGUCUGGCCUAGUGGAGUGCCGGGUCAGGGACACACCUGCUCACUGGACUGUGUUCAUUCCCUCACUCUCACUCACUGACUCACUGGUGCUUUAUCCAGCCUCGGGUAGAAAUUACGUAGCAAGGGCUUGA